UAGCCUUAAAAAUUUUUGGUAUUAAGUUGUUGCACAAGAAGACCAUCCAAGUGUUGUUUAAUGUUAUCGUUUUAAUCCAAAUAUAGGAGAAACUCUCUCAAUCUUCCAAGGAGAACUAAACGUACAAAGAAAACUUGUAAGGAGUUUCCAAAGCAAGUGUCUUUGGUCCAGAAAUCUAGAUGAGGUAUUUACUUCUGAACAACUUCAUAUUUUGUUGUGAUUCAAAGAACAAUCUUCAAUUAGCGGAGACUGUUAACUAAAUAACCAAUUUGAAAUUUUACUUAUUUUUUGUCCACAGAUUGUGGAAAAGCUCGUUAUCGUUGUAACAUGGAUAAAUCAAACAAUAAUCAAAGAAUUUGGAGUUGACAAUACAGGUGCCUACAAUUGACGAGUCAUACACAUUGGGGUAUAUGCAAUGAAAUACAAAUCCAUAUGCCCCAAUAUGUCCUAGCAUUUCUGUUUUCGAUUCUAUAGGCUUGCAGCAGCAUUUAACCACUUAUCUUGAACUUUUUUCUUUACAAACCUACCAUUGCAGAUAAAACAUUGCUUAUCAAGGACAGAAGUAAUGGCCAGAAACUGGGUGCCGUUGGUCUUGCUUUGCAUUAUGCGAACAUAAUCAGCCAGAUAAAUCUCAUUGUAAGCUUUCCCCCCUCAUUUCUUCAAUUUUCUCAAACCUACUCCCAAAUUUGAUGUUUGUUGAUUAAAAGUGCUAUUUUUUUAUAGGCGUGCCGUCCAACUUCCAUUCCUUCAAACAUGAGGGAUGCAUUAUACCGGGCAUUGCCUACAAGCAUUAAAAUAGCUCUGCGUUCUCGAUUGCGGGCUGUGGAUGCAAGAGAGGAGGUAUUACCUUGUUUCAUUCACUUCGUACUGUUAGAUUGAUGCAGCUUUGUAAUUCCUACUCACUCAUUAACAAGUCAUGAACAAAAAUGGUGUUUCUGCAGCCAACUUAUUAUGACGUCAAAACUGAAAUGGAUAAGAUCCUUGAAUGGCUUGUUCCGAUUGCUGCAAACACGAGCAAGUAGGAGAACUUUUCUCUUAUCCACUAAAAACAACUUUUUGUAACGACAAAUAAGUACUCUUCACCAGUUAUUUUUCAAAAUUUUCAUGCGAUCUAAUUUUUCUGAUUUUUCCCCUAAAAGUGUCUAAUUCUGCUCUGGAAUCGUUUUAAAAUUCUAAAAUCUCAAUCACGGUCAACUAUACAAUCAAACACCAUCAAAUUUGAAAAUGGCUUUAUUACAUAAAGUCAUCUCAAACCUCUUCUUUCUCUCAAUCCAUUUCUUUGCUUUCCAUUGCACGUUCCUAAUUUCACCACGAUCAAUGCAGAGCGCAUCAAUCUUGUGGCAGAAUUGGAGAAUGGGCAACCCAAAGGUUCGUUUCAUGAUUCUUCUUUCCUAGAAAGAGAACAAGAGAACAAAGUUCCAACAUGGAGCAACGAAUUAAAAUGAUUUUUCCAUUGUUUUUUUGUGUAGUAAGGAACACAGCAAAGGCAGAGCUACACAAAACAACAAUGCAAACCGCCUUCAAACGCUCUACUAUGCAGACAAAGUAAAAACAGAGUUACAAAUUCUUGAAUUAGUCACAUUGCUUCACCAUCUCAUCCAUUUAGCAAAACACCAACAACGACGCUCCUCAUCUCUCCGUUGCCGAUCACCAACUCCCAAGGACAUGGCAAAUACUUCUCGUCGUAUCCAAUUCAAGAGCCAAAUUAUCAGAACCACCAAGGAUGGAUUUCCGACCGACAAUAUACCAUCGCCCGGCCAAACUCCGAUCAGAAAAAAGGUG
rnacentral:lncRNA from 1 species